rnacentral:tRNA from 1 species
CCUCUCAUAGCGUAGUGGUAACGCGCCCCAACUAGAGAUCGGGGAGACGUGAGUUCGAUUCUCACUGAGAAGA